UUGAACGCUGGCGGCAGGCCUAACACAUGCAAGUCGAGCGGUAGCACAGAGAGCUUGCUCUCGGGUGACGAGCGGCGGACGGGUGAGUAAUGUCUGGGAAACUGCCUGAUGGAGGGGGAUAACUACUGGAAACGGUAGCUAAUACCGCAUAAUGUCGCAAGACCAAAGUGGGGGACCUUCGGGCCUCAUGCCAUCAGAUGUGCCCAGAUGGGAUUAGCUAGUAGGUGGGGUAACGGCUCACCUAGGCGACGAUCCCUAGCUGGUCUGAGAGGAUGACCAGCCACACUGGAACUGAGACACGGUCCAGACUCCUACGGGAGGCAGCAGUGGGGAAUAUUGCACAAUGGGCGCAAGCCUGAUGCAGCCAUGCCGCGUGUGUGAAGAAGGCCUUCGGGUUGUAAAGCACUUUCAGCGGGGAGGAAGGCGAUAAGGUUAAUAACCUUGUCGAUUGACGUUACCCGCAGAAGAAGCACCGGCUAACUCCGUGCCAGCAGCCGCGGUAAUACGGAGGGUGCAAGCGUUAAUCGGAAUUACUGGGCGUAAAGCGCACGCAGGCGGUCUGUCAAGUCGGAUGUGAAAUCCCCGGGCUCAACCUGGGAACUGCAUUCGAAACUGGCAGGCUAGAGUCUUGUAGAGGGGGGUAGAAUUCCAGGUGUAGCGGUGAAAUGCGUAGAGAUCUGGAGGAAUACCGGUGGCGAAGGCGGCCCCCUGGACAAAGACUGACGCUCAGGUGCGAAAGCGUGGGGAGCAAACAGGAUUAGAUACCCUGGUAGUCCACGCCGUAAACGAUGUCGAUUUGGAGGUUGUGCCCUUGAGGCGUGGCUUCCGGAGCUAACGCGUUAAAUCGACCGCCUGGGGAGUACGGCCGCAAGGUUAAAACUCAAAUGAAUUGACGGGGGCCCGCACAAGCGGUG
rnacentral:rRNA from 1 species